ACAUCAGUUCUGGGUUUUUUGGUUUGGGGAUUUUUUGUACAGAAAUGUAAUUUUUCUUAUUGCUGAACUCCGUGAUAUAGGCCAGAAAAGCAAGCUGUGCCCAAAGUACUAAGGCAAACCUUUCCAAGAGCAUUAGUAUAACCAGAAUAUGUUUUUUUUCCUUAUUGAGAUUGUGUCUGAUUUGGUGACAGCCUGGUGUGUGAAGCAAGCAUGCAAUGAGGGCCACAGUUAGCGUGGUAUCUACAUAAAUAUUCAAUGCAGCCUACAGGUGGAUACUGGGAAGGAGAGACCUCAUUAUAGACUCGGAGUUCCUAAGAGGAAAGGAGGUCAGGACGUGCUGCCAGGGCAGCAGAGACUCCUGUGCUCCUUGAGUGCAUCGCUGGCACCACGAGAAACGUCUGGGCUCUGCUGGAACAGAUACCAGUGCUGUCUCACCCCGUGCCGAGGCUUCAGAGGUGCGAACACAUCCUGUUUACACCUGCCAGCCGCGCCAGGGGCGGCGGAGGGAGCGCGGCCCAGGGGCAGAGCACCCCGGGACACGGCCUGGCAUGGACACCGUGCCCGUCUACCACGGGGCCAUCACCCGCGAGGCGGGAGAGAAGCUGCUGCUGGCCGCGGGCAAGGACGGCAGCUACCUGCUGCGGGACAGCGAGAGCAUCCCGGGGGUGUACUGCCUGUGUGUGCUGCAUCAGGGUUAUGUUUAUACCUACAGAGUGUCCCAGACAGAAACUGGAUCCUGGAGUGCUGAGACGGCGCCCGGGGUGCACCGGAGGCUCUUCAGGAAGGUGCACAACCUCAUCUCAGCCUUCCAGAAACCCAACCAGGGCAUCGUGACAGCACUGCAGAACCCGGUUGUGAACCACGGGACAGCCAGCUGCUCCCCAGGGAGGAAUGAAUAUGACGUCCACCUGCAGCCAUCAUGAGGAUGUCUCCCCAAGCGUGACAUAACCACAUCUUCCAGCAUCUCCUCUAAUGUGUGCUUUAAACCAGAACGAUUUAUGGGAUAGUAAAUACAACUCUGUGAGUUUUCCUGUGACAUUUGCAGAAAUGUGUCUUUCUUAGAAUUUAUUGCUUAAGACGUAGAAGUUCAAGUUUCAGAAUACUUUGAACGUAGGGUGGGAUAUUUUUUGGUUUUGUUUUGGUUUUUCCCAAGAGAGGAUAAAAACCAUGAACUGCUAAAUCCCUUGAUCUUUGGAAAUAUAAAAUGCUUGCAUAAGUGCUUGUGCAUUUUGAUAAAAAAAUGCGUGACUCAGUUUUGCCUGCUCAAAAAUGUUUGGCAAGGUGUCUGCAAUGGGCACUGUCCAUUUGUCUGCUUCUGCAUUCCCUUCUACCAAGAGUCGUGGAAGUGAGGGAUGUGCCCUGAUGUGAGAGAUGAAGCAUUUGCUUUUCGUGUUGUAAAGCUUUUUGCAUGCAGGUCUUUUGUUAUGAGGGCAUGAAGUAUGCUGAACAGCUGAGUAGCUUCUGGCGAUUGUAUUUAGUGUAAUUUCAUCUGGCAAAUUUGUUAACAUUGUUGUUAAAGAAAUCAGACUGUUGAAAUCUUUGAUAGGUAAUAAGGUACUGCAUUUACUGUUUGCUAUCUCUCCAGCAACCGUAAAACUGUAAAAAAUUAGAUUUCAGUCAGAAAACAAAAUAAACUUAAAACCCUCUAUAUCAACACGUUUUCAAGGCAUACAAACACAGUAUGUAAAGCUUCAUUAAACAGAAAUAGAACCCACUCUGCGCUUGAGAGGGGGGCUGAGCUGCCCGCAGGGACAAAGGAGAGGGAGGGAAAAAUACCCUCCAAAGGCCGCAUGUAGUAAAAGGGGGAAACACCGAAAACAAAUACAGAAAAGGUUAAAAAGGCACACAGCGCCUGUGGCUCGCAGCUCCUGCCGAUGCAACCGCGGCCCGGCAGAGUCCCGGGGCUGUUGGGAGCCCCCGCACAGCCCGGGAGGGAACGGGGGAGCGGCACCGGAGCCCCCGCACAGCCCGGGAGGGAACGGGGGAGCGGCACCGGAGCCCCCGCACAGCCCGGGAGGGAACGGGGGAGCGGGACCGGAGCCCCCGGCUGUGGGAGGGAACGGGGGAGCGCCAUUGGAGCCCUCGGCUGCGGGAAGAAUUUGUGUUGCAGGAAAUGUGCUCCGGUUCCCACCGUCUGCAGAGCUCGCACAUUCCGUAUGCAGCUGUGAACCUGCCGGGGCUCGGGGGUUUCUGAAGGAUGAAUUCAUCCUUCGGUGCGGAACCGCCGAGGCCACCACCCGCCACCGCAGCACCGCGGCCACCGCUGCCCCCACCCGCUACCGCGGCCAUCGCCCGCCACCGCGGCCACCCCGCGCCGCCGGGGCCCCGUGUCCCGCCGGAACCAUUUUGCGGGGCGCUCGCACGCGCUGCCGUCGCUGGGUUCUGUGGGGGCGCGCGCCGCGUCUGCCCACGGCGGAGACCGAAAGCAGUUUCAAAGUAGAUUGAAGUUUUUAAUAUCUUUUCAACAUGAAAAGCAGAAUUAAAAGAUCUUGGAAGGCUGAAAAUAUUUCCUAAGAGAGAAAGAGUUUUUUUCCUCUUAAUAAUGUGAAAUGCCAGGCUGCACAAAACUGGCUGAGUUUCACCAGACACUGCCACCUGCAGCUUGUUAGCACAGUGAGAGGCGCACACCUGCCUUGUGUUCACCCCCUCAAGGCGAGCUGGAUGUGAACAGGGACAGAACUGAGCGGGCUGCACGUCCCGGCUUCGGCAAGGGAGGGAUGCUCCAAGCAACAUUAGAUAAGGCUGAAAGAUUUACCUUUUACCCCGUGUGUGAGCAAUACAGUGCAAGCAGUAAAGGAUUUUCUGUGCAACACCAGUUUCUUGUAAACCAGCAAAAGGAGGUACUGCAGUAAAUGAACAGGCCCGUUUUGACAGGGACUGGGGGGCACUGUUGCAAAGCAAUGGUUGAGGCAUUUUCAGUUCAUUACUAAGUUUUUAAUUGAAGGCCAAAUUUCACCCAGGGUGAAGUGUCCCAUGGUAUUUGACACUGCGUGUGCAUGUGUUGCUCUGUGCCGCCUUUGUACAUGUGCCGGCUGGUUGAAACUAGUCUUACCUUCAUACAGUGCCAUUCAGUGGCAGAUCCAGCACAAUUUCCUCUUGGGUUAAAUAUUUAAAGGCUUUUUUCUCGUUACAUAACUCAGCAAAUGCAUUGGCUGGUUUGCUGUCACUCGUGCCCCUGCAGCUCUCCCUUCUCCUCCCUGCCUGCAGCGUCUGCUCCCUGGCAGUUCUCUGCAGCUCUGCAGACCAAGGCCCCGCAGCUGCUGGGUGCUAGCGGUGAGUGCUGCAGCCCCAGCCUUCCCGGGAGCUCCUCUGCUUUCCAAGGUCUAAACCCUCCCUCUCCUGGCCUCUCCUGCAAAUCCUUCAUGGCAGAGGGCUGCAUGCAGUGCAGGAGCUGCCAGGGGCUGUUUCCUGUGGAGGGGUCCUGCUGCCUGCAGGCUGCAUGUGGGAUCCUGCAGCACACACGGUGCAGUGAGCUGGGGAUAACUGCUGUGACUGUGCUUGCCUCCAGAAGUGCAUUGGUCUUCUGAAAAAUACAUAAAAUAGGCCAGAAGAUGCCAUUUCUGUUUAAAGCUGAGAAUGUCGUUUCAGUUUCUGGUGUAAAUUAUUAAGACAGAGGCUUGUAUUGUUUCUUUUGGGUACCCAAGGGUCUGGAAUUGCUGCAGGCUUAAACAAGGUGGAAGCAGAGAGAAGCUGAUGGUGCCUGGGAGACAAGAAGUAGAUGCUUGGUUAUGGGAACAGUAAUAUGGAAAUUAUAUUGAUUUCCUACAGCGACUUAGGUGUGAAGAGCCUUAUGCAUUCCUUGUGCCCCUGCACUCAUGUGCUCCUUCUCUUCUGCAUGUAUUGGGCUUUUAGUGCUUUAUUUUCCUGUUUGAUUACACAGAAUCAUUCAUCAUCAUCUAUUUGAGGCAGCUCUAAAGAACAUGCAGACACUUAAACUUUGCUACUCACACUGCCAGCAGCAUUGACUUCACCCACUCAGUUACCAGGAGUGCAAAGGCAUUUAACAGACUAUUUUUUCUCUCUCGCAUUUGCUUUGAUGAAAUAUAAUAACCUUUACACAGACACUGGCUGGGAUUUCACCUGCAGUGGAACCUGUGGAGUUAUAAGCAUGAACUCUGGUGAAUCAGAAAUAAAAUUAAAUCUUGCUAA